rnacentral:lncRNA from 1 species
GCCACUGACUGCCUUGAUGUGGAUUUUUGUUGUUGGAGCUUUCUUGGCUAAGAUGGCGUCGUUGUGAGCCACCCUAAGGGUGCUGGGAAGCAAACCAUAUCCUCCUGCUGAGCCAUCUCUCCAGCCCUCCUGAUUGAGUUUCUCAUCCAUUCUCAAGAAGAGUGACUUGACAAGUUCUGGGUCCUUCAUGACUUCUGUUCUCACUGCCUAAAGGGAUGGAAUUCCUGUUUUAAAAGCUGAGAGCGGAGAUGCCCUGGGAGAGCAGAUUGUUUCUUUGAUUUCUGUGCCUUAAAGUCACUAUUGUAAGGACCACACGGAAGACAGUCAGUGAACACACUGAUCUUACUUGAUUUGUAAGAACGGGUCUCUGGAAACCUGUCAGACAAAAAAUAAGGCCAAGUGGAUUAAAAGACGACUCAAGAAGCAAAAAGCCAGAGUCAACAAGUAGCCAAAGGGCCCCAGGCUUGGCUACUUUUCAUACCAAAGAACUCCAGGGAGUCAGAGUGGAUGACUGAAUAACCACACCCAGAGUGAUUCUCAUUCAAGC